rnacentral:rRNA from 1 species
UACGUAGGGGGCAAGCGUUGUCCGGAUUUAUUGGGCGUAAAGAGCUCGUAGGCGGCUUGUCGCGUCGACUGUGAAAACCCACGGCUCAACUGUGGGCUUGCAGUCGAUACGGGCAGGCUAGAGUUCGGUAGGGGAGACUGGAAUUCCUGGUGUAGCGGUGAAAUGCGCAGAUAUCAGGAGGAACACCGGUGGCGAAGGCGGGUCUCUGGGCCGAUACUGACGCUGAGGAGCGAAAGCGUGGGGAGCGAACAGG